UCUAUCUUUUCCUAAUUCAGCUAAACAACACAACUAACAGUGAUGAGAAAUCAAUGAAUACUACUACUUAAUGGAAAAAAGAAAGGAUCUUUAUAUCAGUGGACAAUAUUACCCACUGGAAAUAUUGGGCUUUUGCUAAUGCUGGUGUGGGGUCCUUAGCUGAACUGCUCACUGGUGUGAAAGGGAUUUAUUCAGCAUUCUUCUGAAAAUAAUAGAUGAUUAACUGUUCAGUACUGAGCUGGUUAAGAAAUGACCAAUUUGAGUGGCUAUAUAAUAUUUAACACUUUCCAUGUUUAAAAUGUUAUUUACGUAACUAGUCUUCACAGUAGGCUUGUGAGUAAAGUAAGUACCAUCUCACUUUUCUUUUUUUAUCAAUAAUGGGGAAACUGAUGCAGAGUAGCUGCCCAAAGCCACAGAAAAGAUUCCAUGUCACAGCAGAGUUAGAGCUUAAGUGUGUGAAUUACAUUCUCAGUCAGCUACAUAAACUACUACACCUGACCCCUCUCAAAGUCAGUGGGAGUUUGGGGCUCAUGAGGAAUGAGCCCCAAUCACUCUCCUGCUUUAGUACAACCAUCAUACAGACUGUGGCAUUUUACCAACUAUGGAAUGAAUUGCAAGCUGUAAUAUAUACAUUGAUUAGUCAGCACUUGUGGAUUUCCAAAAGCUCCACCCACAGUAAAGUUAGUAAUAUUUAUUAUUCCCCUGAUCUUGCAAGUUGGAAUGAGCCUAAAAUGACUUUUAGUUAUCAAAAUACAGCAGGGUCACUUGAGCUCUUCCCAGGUGGACAAAACAUAUUGCUUGCACACAACCUCGGUGAAUGAACUGGCAAAGCUUUGUGAGGCUUGAGGAGGAAAAUAUUCUCCCUGUCCUACCAGGCCAUGAAGCUACUGCACAUCCACUGCUACAUGUUCAAGGCUGUAGCUCCCUAAGCAGGUGGUAUGGGUUAACCAAUCCAGCUGUGUAGUUGCCACCCACCAAACCCUCUGCCUUCUAGAGUGGAAAGAGUACAGGUCUCUGGUGUGCAGAUGGUGUGAACUGCUCUGCAUCCUCUCUUUAACUUCACAGUGGAAUUGUGGGAAGUGGUGCAUGGCACUUUAUUGGAUUGAAGGACCCUUAAAAAGAGCCUUAAAAAAAGACCCUUCUGUGUGGGUCUUUCAGAUGGGCCCUUAAAUUGCUUUCAUGAUCUGGAAAAUGAGAAUUGUAUCAUGGAGAAUCAAUGACUCACAAAGCAAAUUUACUCGGUUCACAGCUGAGAAAGAUGUUUUUUUAACUGCCAGACCUGCAAACUCAGCCUUGCAGUCAAGCUCCAGGCCAAAAUUCUACUUGAAGUUCCAUCUUUGCAACACUAUUGUUUGAAAUAGGGUUGCAAAGAAAUACAUUAGGAAAGAAUUACCUCUGAAAUUGGAGUGUGGUUAACAAUUCUGUUAAUCGGGUGUAUAAAUCAUAGAAAGAAAGAAUAAUUUCUGGCUCACUCUCACAGCUCUGUUAGCUAUGGAGUGCUAACAGGAGAAAAAUAGUAAAAACAUAUUUUUGUCACUAGUGUAAAAGGAUGUGAUUCUGAGUUAACACAGAAAUCAGCCUUUUGGGUAAGAGGCUACCAUUUGCACAUAUCACUUUCCAUAGUAGAACCACACUUAAAAAACAGUGGCUCAAUCCUGCUUCCAUUAAAGCCAAUGAUAGUUUUGACAUUGAUUUCAGCUGCAGUUCAACUUGGUCCCAAGGUCUGGUUUGUUUUGUAAAAAUAUUAAUGGGCUUAAGACACUUUUCCCAAUAUAAAAAUUAAUGGGCCCAAAUAUAGCAUUUUCACUUGUGUGCUUGACCAUAUUUCUCCCCCCUUCCCCCCCCAGUAAUUGACAGUAUGCUGACUAGUUGUCACUCUUCACCCCAGGAUACUUGAAUUUCAAUAAUUCUCUAUGCCUAUAGUUUUAAAAUAACGUAGGGGAUCCUUUAGGAUGAGAAACACUACGUAAAUGUACAAUAUUAUUGUUUCUGUAUAGUUAAUUUUUAUGUUCUAAAAGUUGCCUUUUAAGACUCAAUUUUAAGGCUUAGACAGCCCUAUUUUGUUCUCUCUCUAGGUGUGUGUGUGUGUGUGUGUGUGUAGUAUAUAUGUGUAUGUAUGUAUAUAUCUAUAUAUUCAAAUCUAUUGUUAGAUACGUGAAAUGUUUUCAAGUAUGUUCAAUCAAGAUUAUAUAGUAAAUGAAUACUUUAUUAACACUAUUUAAUUGAGACAGUCAAAGCAGGACAGUUGAACUGUCAUAGCCAUUUGAUCUUCUAAGUUUUGACAUCCUUAUUACAGAAUUUGUCUUGUGCAAAAGAAAUAUAUACCUUCUGAAUCCUAAACUAGAAAAUGCCAGGUUUACUACUUUAAUUCACUAUAUUUGGAAAUAUAGAGGAUCUUAUUGGGUUUGUAAAGGAAGAAUUCCUAAGCAGUUUCUACUUAUACUGGAUAUUUAAAUAUAGACACUAUUCUGGAAACAAAUAUGCAGUUUACACGUAAUUACUAACACUACCUGGUUUAUUUUUUUAUGAAUUAGCUGAAUUACAGUUCAUCUGCAGAGGCAAUGCUUAUCUAUUGAUGAAAUAAAGCUGAGUUUGCAUAGCA
rnacentral:lncRNA from 1 species